UCAAAAACAUGUCUUAUUGAUAAAUAAUUUUAAGUCUAGCCUGCCCCCUGAAUUUUUAAAUGGCCGCGGUAUUUUGACCGUGCUAAGGUAGCAUAAUCAUUAGUUUCUUAAUUAGAAGCUGGAAUGAAUGGUUGGAUGAAAAAAUAACUGUCUCUGUUUAAGUUUGUUAAAAUUUUAUUUUUUAGUAAAAAAGCUAAAAUUUUUUUGAAAGACGAGAAGACCCUAUAGAGUUUAAUACUAAUAUUUUAUUAAUAUUUAUUAGAAUAUAAAUUUUUAAUUUUAUAAUGUAUUUAAUUGGGGUGAUUAAAAAAUUGAAAUAACUUUUUUUAUUAAAUUACAUUGAUAUAUGAUUAUUUGAUCCGUAGAUUGCGAUUAUAAGAAUAAAUUACCUUAGGGAUAACAGCGUAAUGUUUUUAGAGAGUUCUUAUCGAAAAAAAAGAUUGCGACCUCGAUGUUGGAUUAAAAUUAAUAAUUGGUGUAGAAGCUAGUAUUAUUAGGUCUGUUCGACCUUUAAAAUUUUACAUGAUCUGA
rnacentral:rRNA from 1 species